UACGUAGGGUGCAAGCGUUGUCCGGAAUUAUUGGGCGUAAAGAGCUCGUAGGCGGCUUGUCACGUCGACUGUGAAAACCCGGGGCUCAACUCCGGGCCUGCAGUCGAUACGGGCUGGCUUGAGUGCGGUAGGGGAGACUGGAAUUCCUGGUGUAGCGGUGAAAUGCGCAGAUAUCAGGAGGAACACCGGUGGCGAAGGCGGAUCUCUGGGCCUUGCCUGACGCUGAGGCGCGAAAGCUAGGGGAGCGAACAGG
rnacentral:rRNA from 1 species